rnacentral:tRNA from 1 species
CCGUCGAUAGCUCAGUUGGUAUAGCGGUGGACUGUAGAUCCAUAGGUCGCUGGUUCGAAUCCGGCUCGACGGA